GACGAACGCUGGCUGCGUGCUUAACACAUGCAAGUCGAGAGGCGCGGCGAACGGGUGAGUACCGCGUGAGUAACUGCCCCCCUCUCUGGGAUAACAGUUGGAAACGGCUGCUAAUACCGGAUAGUGGGGGAUGACUCGCGUCCUAUCAGCUUGUUGGUGGGGUAGUGGACUACCAAGGCGACGACUGGUAGCCGGCCUGAGAGGGCGACCGGCCACAUGGGACUGAGAUACGGCCCAAACUAGUAAGGUAGGCAGAAGUGGGGAAUAUUGCACAAUGGUGGAAACCCUGAUGCAGAAACGCCGCGUGAGGGUUGACGGCCUUCGGGUUGUAAACCGCUUUCAGACAUGACGCGGUAGUGGCAGAAGAAGCACCGGCUAACUACGUGCCAGCCGCCGCGGUAAUAC
rnacentral:rRNA from 1 species